CUGGAAAAAGCUCUGCGUUGGACACAGCUGAGCACCUUAGGCACCCCGGACGGGGCUGACCCUCUGCUGGCUCAGGAGGAAGCACAGAGACGUGCUCCAGUGGCAUUUCCGACUUGGAUGAAAGCAGGAAAGAGCUGAAGCGUCUGGGGAGCCUCCAGGAGGUGACCUCGGGCUGAAAGUGCCGAUAUGCAACAGCCUGCUCCCCCGGACCUGAGCCAAGGGGCUGCUCUGAGCAGGGCAGGGUGGGCCUGGAGGGGAGCCAGGGACCCAAGAGACUUCCGAGGGCCCCAGGAGCCAGGAAGCAGCACCCUGGCUCCGCAAACGUUAGAUCACAAAGGGCGGCUCUGCGGUUCCCUGCUUUGACUCCUCUGCCAAGAGUGAAACAGCACAGCCUCGAGGUGUUUUAGAAGCUUGUUUUGAAAAAUGCA
ensembl:lncRNA novel transcript